rnacentral:rRNA from 1 species
CCUACGGGGGGCAGCAGUGGGGAAUAUUGCACAAUGGAGGGAACUCUGAUGCAGCGACGCCGCGUGAGCGAUGAAGGCCUUCGGGUCGUAAAGCUCUGUCCUAUGGGACGAUAAUGACGGUACCAUAGGAGGAAGCCCCGGCUAACUACGUGCCAGCAGCCGCGGUAAUACGUAGGGGGCGAGCGUUGUCCGGAAUUACUGGGCGUAAAGGGUACGCAGGCGGUCAUGUAAGUCAGAUGUGAAAUCCUAAGGCUUAACCUUAGUAAGCAUUUGAAACUGCGUGGCUUGAGUUAAGGAGAGGAAAGUGGAAUUCCUGGUGUAGCGGUGAAAUGCGUAGAUAUCAGGAGGAAUACCAGUGGCGAAGGCGACUUUCUGGCCUUAAACUGACGCUGAGGUACGAAAGCGUGGGGAGCAAACAGGCUUAGAUACCCCAGUAGUC